AUGUACACAGAAAAUAAGUGUGCAAUAAAAAUCAAAAACCAAAGAACAGAAUUUUUUUCACAAUGUCGAGGUGUGAGACAAGGCUGCAAUUUGAGUCCAAAUCUUUUCAACAUUUAUAUCAAUGAAUUAGCAGACAUGUUGGACCAAUCUCCAGCCCCAGGACUCACACUAUUUGACACAGAGGUGAAAUACCUGCUAUAUGCUGAUGACUUGGUACUUCUAUCACCAACCAAAGAAGGUCUUCAACAAAACAUUAAUAUUCUGGAGCAAUAUUGCCAUAAUUGGGCCCUGGCAGUAAAUUUCCAAAAAACUAAAAUCAUGAUUUUCCAAAAAAAACCCAGAUGUCAGAAACACAAAUGUAAAUUCACCCUGAACAACACCUUAAUUGAACACACAAAACAUUACACCUACCUUGGUCUGACCAUAUCUGCAUCGGGAAACUUUAAUAUGGCAGUGAAGGCACUCAAAGAAAAAGCCCGCAGAGCAAUGUAUGCAAUAAAAAUGAAAUUAUUCAAAAUCAACAUCCCAAUUAGAAUUUGGACUAAAAUAUUUGACAGUGUAAUCCUACCAAUAGCACUUUAUGGAAGUGAGGUUUGGGGGCCACUCAAUAAACUGGAUUUUAAAAUGUGGGACAAACAUCCAAUUGAAGCCCUACAUGCAGAAUUCUGUCGGAAAAUUCUACAAGUCCAGAGAAAUACACCAACUAAUGCAUGUAGGGCAGAAUUGGGCCGUUUUCCAGUAAUAAUGAAAAUACAGAAAAGAUCAUUAAAAUUUUGGCUACAUCUAAAUUCAAGUCCAAAUUCGAGUCUGCAAUUUAAAGCACUUCAAGCCCAAGAGCUGAGCCCAGAAACGAGCCCUCUCAGUCAGAUGGUGUUGGACCUCACCAACCAAGCUGACGCCAGCACUGCUUCAAAAGAAAGAAUUCCAAUAAGCAAAAUCAUGAACCAAUCAAAGGAAUCAUAUUUACAAUACUGGAAAAACGAAACAAAAUCCCAAAGCCGACUAAAUUGCUAUCUGACCCUAAACAGAGAAUAUGAAUUGGCUGAUUAUCUCUACUCUGUCAGAGAUACGAAGCAGAGACAGAUCCUUACCAAGUACAGGCUAAGUGACCACCGAUUGGCAAUAGAAACCGGCAGACAUAAAAAGACAUGGCUACCCAAAGAGGAGCGUGUAUGUGGUCACUGCAUGACAGGGGAGGUAGAGACAGAGAUGCACUUUCUCCUUUACUGUGAUAAAUAUUCCUCACAAAGAGAUUCAUUAUUCACAGAAAUGACUACAUAUAUUCCAAAUUUUUACAAAUUGAACCCAGAGGAAAAACUAAGAAUACUCAUGGGCGAAGGAGCAAUGGCUCCUCUUGCAGCCAAAUAUGUAUUUUCCUGCCAUAGCCUGAGGGACACUGAAUAA
rnacentral:lncRNA from 1 species